rnacentral:ncRNA from 2 species
UGGCUCAUUAAAUCAGUUAU